GACGAACGCUGGCGGCGUGCUUAACACAUGCAAGUCGAACGGAAAGGCCCUGCUUUUGUGGGGUGCUCGAGUCGCGAGCGGGUGUGUAACACGUGAGUAACCUGCCCUGGACUUUGGGAUAACUCCAGGAAACUGGGGCUAACACCGGAUAGGAGCUCCUGCUGCCUGGUGGGGGUUGGAAAGUUUCGGCGGUUGGGGUUCGACUCUCGGCUUAUCAGCUUGUUGGUGGGGUAGUGGCUUACCAAGGCUUUGACGGGUAGCCGGCCUGAGAGGGUGACCGGCCACAUUGGGCCUGCGAUACGGCCCAGACUCCUACGGGAGGCAGCAGUGGGGAAUAUUGCACAAUGGGCGGAAGCCUGAUGCAGCAACGCCGCGUGCGGGAUGACGGCCUUCGGGUUGUAAACCGCUUUCGGCUGUGACGAAGCGUGAGUGACGGUAAUGGGUGAAGAAGCACCGGCUAACUACGUG
rnacentral:rRNA from 1 species